rnacentral:rRNA from 1 species
GACAGAGGGUGCAAACGUUGCUCGGAAUUACUGGGCGUAAAGCGCGUGUAGGCGGGCUAGUAAGUCGGACGUGAAAUCCCUGGGCUCAACCCAGGAACUGCAUCCGAAACUAUUAGCCUUGAGUGGUGGAGAGGGAAGCAGAAUUCCUGGUGUAGAGGUGAAAUUCGUAGAUAUCAGGAGGAACACCGGUGGCGAAGGCGGCUUCCUGGACACUAACUGACGCUGAGACGCGAAAGCGUGGGGAGCAAACAAG